rnacentral:tRNA from 1 species
AUUUGAGUAGUUUAAUUAUAAAACAUUAAUUUGUGGUAUUAAAGAUGUGGCUAAACCUUAAAUU